ACCAGCUGGAAAGGAAACCCUGCACAGUCAGGAAAUGAGAUUGGACAUACCUAAGACUUUGCAAUGAAAUACAUUUGGAAAUGGAUUUUUAUUUCUUAAGGGUGGAAGCAUGUUAACAAUCCAUAUUGUCAAGAGCUUUUUGUGUUUUUAAAAAUUGGAAGGACUUUGGAAAAUCAGAAUCUGACCUGGAGUUUUUUUAAAAGGGUUAUAAGUUCACCUGAGCUGUGAGCAACUUGCCUUUUCCAAGAAAUCACAUGCCUUCAGCUUACUGUCCAGCAAAGCACUUGAGGAGAUGAGAGUUAUUUGCUUAUUUGAACUUUAAUUACUUUAAACGCUGGAGAAAAAAAACUUUUUUUAAAGGCAGAGGCCCUGGAUUUUCUGGGAAUCACCAGACUGAAAUGAAUUCUAUGCUUUGAACUCGUUUUCUUGACUCAGUUUUUGGGGAAUAAGCUGAGAAGGAAGGCUGUGCUAACUCACUCUCUCCCUGCCUUGCCUGAAAUUCCAUGUGUGGUUAUCAACCUCCAGCCAGAGAAUCCUCAUUUCGUUAUAACACGUCUGGAUUUGGAAACCUGUAAAGCUGAGAUGAGGGAGAGAUCCCAAUGAUUGACCUGGCUCCUUUGAAAAGAAAAUCCAGACAACUGUGACCCAGCAAUCAGUCUCCAGUAGGAACAUUAGAUGGACAAUGUCAAAACCCUUCAAACUUUGUCCUUUUCCAUAAAAUUUUCCAAUUGACGAA